CUUGUGGAGUGUGCCCCGUCGCAGCUUUAAUGGCAUCACUUAUGUUCUCUAACCCAUACACCUCUCCAAAUGGAAAUAUCGCUGCAUCACAAACAACCAUUCAUCAGCAUUGCCUUCUCCAAUUUCAAAGAAAGCAUGCUGAGUGAGCAAUGGUUCAGAACAAAUUCCAUGCCUUUCCCAUUCUUUCUUCCAUAUCUUCUCAUUCUCCUCCUCCUCAAGAGAUGGCCAUUCUUUAUCUAACUCAUUUUUCAGAUCCGACAUCUGUAAAAACCCAUUUACAAAACAAUACAUCAUAUAAUCCAUAUGAAUCAUCAAACCCUCUCUAUAUCUCUACAGAAAAGUACCUUUGAAGGGUCAAAAGUGGUUCUAGUUUUGCAAUUGGGCAUCCCAGAAGAACAAGCAGGCCAGAAGCCAUAAAUGCUGAAAGUGGGUGUUGCUGGCUUUUGACAAGGCUUCAAAUUGCAUAGAGAAAUCUGCCACUGAUGCUUACCAUCAAAUAGCCAGAAAUUAGAAGAGAGAUCGUGAGAUUACCAAAUGGGAACAAACAAAAUUUGAUUACCUGUUGAACAAGGUAAAAGAAGUCAGAGUUUCCACUGCCUUCUGAGACCGGCUGGAUAGGUAAACAAAAGGGGAUGUCAAUUUCAUCAACUCUGAAUGGAAAGUAUAAACAAUUUAGUUUCAA